AAAUGAAUAGACGGGGGCCCGCACAAGCGGAGGAGCAUGUGGCUUAAUUCGAUGCAACGCGAAGAACCUUACCCGGGUUUGACAUGUGACUGCACGUCCUAUGAAAGUAGGACUCCUUCGAGGGUGUCACACAGGUGCUGCAUGGCUGUCGUCAGUUCGUGCCGUGAGGUGUUUGGUUAAGUCCAGCAACGAACGCAACCCCUAUGUUCUGUUACCAGCGGGUAAUGCCGGGGACUCAGAACAGACUGCCUAUUCACAUAGGAGGAAGGUGGGGACGACGUCAAGUCAGUAUGGCCCUUACGCCCGGGGCUGCACACGUGCUACAAUGGCCGGCACAAAGGGAAGCUAAACCGCGAGGUGGCGCAAAACCCCAGAACCGGCCCCAGUUCAGAUUGCGGUCUGCAACUCGACCGCAUGAAGUCGGAUUCGCUAGUAACGGCGCAUCAGCUACGGCGCCGUGAAUACGUUCCCGGGCCUUGUACACACCGCCCGU
rnacentral:rRNA from 1 species